rnacentral:rRNA from 1 species
CCUACGGGUGGCAGCAGUGAGGAAUAUUGGUCAAUGGCCGGGAGGCUGAACCAGCCAAGUCGCGUGAGGGAGGACGGCCCUACGGGUUGUAAACCUCUUUUGUCAGGGAGCAAGGUGCGGGUCGGGACCUGCUGUGAGAGUUCCUGGAGAAAAAACAUCGGCUAAAUCCGUGCCAGCAGCCGCGGUAAUACGGAGGGUGCGAGCGUUAACCGGAUUUAUUUGGGUUAAAGGGUGCGUAGGCGGAGGCACAAGUCAGCGGUAAAAUCGCGGGGCUCAACCCCGCUCCGCCGUUGAAACUGUGGUUCUUGAGUGCGCGAAGGGUAGGCGGAAUGCGUGGUGUAGCGGUGAAAUGCAUAGAUAUCACGCAGAACCCCGAUUGCGAAGGCAGCCUACCGGCGCGCAACUGACGCUCAUGCACGAAAGCGUGGGUAUCGAACAGGAUUAGAUACCCUGGUAGUC